GCCGGAGUGGUGUAGUGGCAACAUGUUGAGCGGGUAUCACCCGUCUCAGAGAGGUCGGUUCGAAUCCGACGUCCGGAA